UUGUGUGUGUGUGUGUGUGGUGGUGGUUGACGUUUCACCCCUAGUUUCAUGUGUUGUGAACCAGCAUACUAUUAAUGUGAAGCAUCAAGCAAGUGUUAGUGCUGAAACGUCAAGGCUCCCCGCAUUUGUCACUAUCUGGUGCAGUAAGUGUAGGAAUAGUCAACUAUCAAGAUUCGGGGUGUUGUGGUACACAAUCUAGGUAAAGUCCCACUCGCUAGUAAAGUCCUGAAGUAAUCUACUCGGUUGCUCUUAAUUUGACGAGUCACUGAUUAUACUGAGCAGUUUGUCCCUAGAUCAUGGAAAGGUUGAGCUCUCAUUUGGUAUUAAGAAUGAUUAAAUGAGAGCAGGUGAAGGAUGUUCCUUGAUUGAUGAUUGGUAACUUUAUUAUUGCAGCAGUGUAUAUAAUAAGGGAGAAGGUCGGGUCAUGCCGGCGUUCGGUGUUGGUGUUAAAGAUGAAUAUAACGAGAGUGAUGGACGCGAAACUCUAAGGUUCGUGUUCAGAAUAGAAUGAAGAAUACCGGUGAAGAAAGGGAGGUUUGGAUUCAACUUUAAAAAGGUCCUGCCACUACUGAAGGAGAAUCGAACCAGCGUGUCCUAACCCUCACAACCUGCGGCAGGAAACUGGGUUUCUUGCAAAGCUACACUUCCUCGGAGGAAUUGGACCCUGCCUCGCACCAGUUCUGCCCUGACAAAACAUGGUUCCAUCCAGAGGGAGGACACAACGGAGGAAUUAGACCCUGCCUCGCACCAACUCUGCCCUGACAACACGUGGUUCCAUCCAGAGGACACACUACGAGGAAUUGGACGCUGCCUUGCACCAGCUCUACCCUGGUAACGGGUGGUGCCAUUCCGGGAGGGAGGACAUUGUCUUGCUGCACCUUUCGCAGAGGAAUUGGACCCUACCUUGACAAAUAUGCGGUGCCAUCCAGGAAGGGAGGACAGACUGCCUCACGUACUUGUCAACCAAAUACAAAUACAUGUAUAUACUUUUGUAAUAUAAUCUGAUGUGAAUAUACCCAUAUAUGUAUGUCAUCAAUUUCAUGUGAUGUACCCACAUAACUGGUGUUUGUACUUAAAAUAAACCAUGAGCAAGAAAGUGGA